rnacentral:rRNA from 1 species
UACGAAGGGGGCUAGCGUUGCUCGGAAUCACUGGGCGUAAAGCGCACGUAGGCGGACUCUUAAGUCAGGGGUGAAAUCCUGGAGCUCAACUCCAGAACUGCCUUUGAUACUGGCGAUCUUGAGUCCGGAAGAGGUGAGUGGAACUCCGAGUGUAGAGGUGAAAUUCGUAGAUAUUCGGAAGAACACCAGUGGCGAAGGCGGCUCACUGGUCCGGUACUGACGCUGAGGUGCGAAAGCGUGGGGAGCAAACAGG